rnacentral:rRNA from 1 species
UACGUAGGUGGCAAGCGUUGUCCGGAUUUACUGGGCGUAAAGGAUGCGUAGGCGGACAUUUAAGUCAGAUGUGAAAUACCCGAGCUUAACUUGGGUGCUGCAUUUGAAACUGGGUGUCUAGAGUGCAGGAGAGGUAAGUGGAAUUCCUAGUGUAGCGGUGAAAUGCGUAGAGAUUAGGAAGAACACCAGUGGCGAAGGCGACUUACUGGACUGUAACUGACGCUGAGGCAUGAAAAGCGUGGGGGAGCAAAACAGG